GACGAACCGUGCUAACGUUGUUCGGAAUCACUGGGCUUAAAGGGCGCGUAGGCGGGCCGCCAAGUCCGGGGUGAAAGCCCCCAGCUCAACUGGGGAAGUGCCUCGGAUACUGGCGGCCUCGAGGGAGGUAGGGGCGUGCGGAACUUCCGGUGGAGCGGUGAAAUGCGUAGAGAUCGGAAGGAACGCCGGUGGCGAAAGCGGCACGCUGGACCUCUUCUGACGCUGAGGCGCGAAAGCCAGGGGAGCAAACGGG
rnacentral:rRNA from 1 species